UACGAAGGGGGCUAGCGUUGCUCGGAAUCACUGGGCGUAAAGGGCGCGUAGGCGGCCAUUCAAGUCGGGGGUGAAAGCCUGUGGCUCAACCACAGAAUUGCCUUCGAUACUGUUUGGCUUGAGUUUGGUAGAGGUUGGUGGAACUGCGAGUGUAGAGGUGAAAUUUCGUAGAUAUUCGCAAGAACACCAGUGGCGAAGGCGGCCAACUGGACCAAUACUGACGCUGAGGCGGCGAA
rnacentral:rRNA from 1 species